UUCUAUAAAUAAGUAUUCAGUGAAAAUCAGAAUAUUGCAAUUAGCAGACAACUCAAAAUACUAUAAUAGCACUGACUUACAAUUAUUAUAUUCUAUUUGUAGUAUGUUUAUUUCAAGAAGAGACUGUCCAGUCGUUGUCGUGACUUUGUGGUUAAAAAAUUAUGAUAGAAAAAAAAAAAAACGGAGGCAUAGAAAUAAUGCAUUUUAUCAAAUGUAUGUAAAAUCAGACAAUGUUAAACGGACAAGCCGGUGAUUUGAGUGACUCGAACACUUGCGGGUGUUUGGGACCUGGAAAGAGCUGUGACCUUACGCUAACUGCUGUGACAUGUAGGCGGAAGCAUUAUACAGGUUUGAAAAGACGUUGAGCACGUACACAGUUGGACGUGUAGACGUGCGUUCUAAUGUCUCAAGGUUAGAACCACAUCGAAUAUAUUCUGUAAAAAUCAUGUUUGUGAGGCUCGUGUGUGUUCGGCGUUUCCACCGUAACCGACUGCUAUCACAACAUGACAUGACCUCUACUGAGCUAACGUCAGGCUGCGAACACAGACAAGGCCGCGGUCGCAAAACACCGCACUUCCAUUAACGCCGCUACGUCUCGCUGGUUCUCUCACCUUCCCGGGGCCUUCGGCAUAGUGUGAAGACCGGACCGCGGAGGUCGCGAACCGCCUGACGGCUUGUCCCAGCAUGAUUAUGCUCCUGUUGCUUCUGUAGCUCAACUCAACACAGCGUCUUGUGCGACCUUCUUGUUCCCGUGAGCGGCAGAGCGGCGCAGAGGAUUGUGGGAAACAAAGUGGCGCUGUAUCGACUGGGAAAUGUAGUUCAAAGGAUACCAAACGCAAAUACAGAUGGAAAGAACAGAUUUUACUUUAUAGAAAGAAUCCAAAUGACAGAUCGCAGACAUAGGUUGAGAUUAGAAAGAUCACAGUAUAAAUAUUCGUGACUGCGAAUAUACUCUUUUUUUAUCCAGGCUGUCGAAACAAAAAUACAUGCGCUUAGAAUAGUUCAAAGCACUGAUAGAUAAUGCUAUUUUGACAAAUGUCUUUGUGUGUAUAUGUUUGUCCUCACAGGUUUUACAUGUGCAUGAUAUUUGCUUAUAUUUGAUAAACCGUCUGCAUUUUUCAUCCAUUGUCACAGAUGCAUCGCUGGUGUGGAAAUAGAGCAUGUAAUGACUUAUGGAGGAGGCCUUCCACAACAUAUGCAGAUUAGGCUUUAUGUCACUGUCAUGGAUGUUUAAUUCAUUAAUUGUUGACAAGGAUUGCUGCAUAGUGAGAAUUUAUUAUGAUGACAUCUAGUUUUUAGCUCUUUCUUAUAUCUGAAGAUUCCCAGGUUAAAACACGUUGCAGCUUUGCCAUUAGGUAUGUGUGUCACUCACUGUGACUGUGUGCAUUGAUUCAUUUGCUAGUCGCCAUCUAUCACUCGUCUCUCGACUUGUUUCCCAUUUGUCAUGUCCAGAUUUUGGCCCACACCAUCUUGUUUUAUUGUCAUGUAUUGCGUUUGUCAUCCUCUUGUGUCUGUUUGCAUUAGCUUCUCUUCAUGCUUCUCUUCAUUGCUCAUUUUGAUUUCUGUCACUCACAAGCAGGAUCUUCUGCUUUGACAUUUAAACACAUUAAAAGUAUAUUAAAAAAUACUUGUGGAAUUGGCAAGCAGCUGGGACUAGCAGGUGCGGAAAGAAAAAUAAAGAUAUAGACCGU